rnacentral:rRNA from 1 species
UACGUAGGGUGCGAGCGUUAAUCGGAAUUACUGGGCGUAAAGCGUGCGCAGGCGGUUAUGCAAGACCGAGGUGAAAUCCCCGGGCUCAACCUGGGAACUGCCUUUGUGACUGCAUAGCUAGAGUACGGUAGAGGGGGAUGGAAUUCCGCGUGUAGCAGUGAAAUGCGUAGAUAUGCGGAGGAACACCGAUGGCGAAGGCAAUCCCCUGGACCUGUACUGACGCUCAUGCACGAAAGCGUGGGGAGCAAACAGG